rnacentral:misc_RNA from 1 species
AGAAAAUCAGUUGAACCUUCUGCUCUUUGGUUAUAGUUUUAUUGAACAAAUUGGCAAUUCUCCGUCCACCCUGUUCUUAUAAAUUGCACUGUCCACCGCCCAGUCCUUCUACCUCCACCGAUGGGCGUGAUUGAAACUACCCCCACCGCCUUAGCCCUUUUGAUUCUCAGAAACCUGGUCACGCCUGCCCUCAUCCGUGCCCAUGAAUCUCUCGUUAAUCUUGGAGAAAAGUACAAGCUUCUUGAAUUUGUUCGCUCUUUCUUCAUUACCUGUUUUCUCAUAUUCUUAAGUUUACUUCAUUCUUUCUUGCCUUCUUUUGAUCUUAUUCGUGAUCAUAAUCACCUCCUUAUAUCCCCCAAGACUGAAAACCACGCCCUCACUUAUGAUGGCGAUUCGGGUAUUGCUCGAGCACUUCUGCAGAUCUUGUCCCUCAUUAACGAUAUCCCUGUUAGUUCUCGCAAGUAUGAACUCGUUCGAUCUUUAGCUGAGAAGCUUAUAGAGGAGAACCAGAGUGGGGAUGUUGAGGUUUUGCGUUUAGCCAACCGUACAAGUUUGUCGGCGGCUUUUGAAAGGACUCUUGGCCAGCUUGAAGCCACUAUGAUGGAAC